rnacentral:rRNA from 1 species
CUACGGGAGGCUGCAGUUAGGGAUAUUCGGCAAUGGGGGAAACCCUGACCGAGCAAUGCCGCGUGAAUGAAGAAGUAUUUCGAUAUGUAAAGUUCUGUUGUUAAGGAAGAAAGGUACGAAUAGGAAAUGAUUCGUAAUUGACGGUACUUAACCAGAAAGCCCCUGCUAACUACGUGCCAGCAGCAGCGGUAAUACGUAGGGGGCGAGCGUUAUCCGGAAUUAUUGGGCGUAAAGGGUGCGUAGGCGGCCUGUCAAGUCCGAGUUGAAAGCCCACGGCUUAACCGUGGAGGGUGCUCGGAAACUGAUAGGCUUGAAUCCAGAAGAGGCAAGUGGAAUUCUAUGUGGAGCGGUGGAAUGCGUAGAUAUAUGGAGGAACACCAGUGGCGAAGGCGGCUUGCUGGGCUGGUAUUGACGCUGAUGCACGAAAGCGUGGGGAGCAAACAGGAUUAGAUACCCGCGUAGUC